AUCGGCUUUGCGACAACAGUCCUGCUCGCUCCAAGGUACACCGAGGAGCCUCCCAACUGGUGCAUCUAGGCCGGGAAGGCCGCUUCAGGCAGAGCGCCGGAUGCAACCAGGGAGCAGCUGACAGGCGCAAUGGACGUUUUUCUUGGCUGGACGAAGCCGCCGCCGCCCUGUUUAGGAACAAGCCCAAGAUCGCUGAAUAUUUGGACUCCACAGAGCCAACUCCAUCUCCUUUGCGUCUUCAUGGUGCAGCAGAAUGGGGGUGAACUUGUCACUUGCUCCGAGAUGCAUUUAAUUUUGGACUAGUUGCUAUUUGUAACGUUAAGAAGCUCUGGUUAUUGCUUCUUGAGGGGACUUCAACAACACUUGGAAGACAACCAUGAAAUCAAAAGCAGCUCGCGAAAACACGCAAAACGGCUCCAAGUCCAAAGUCCUGGCACUAAUUCAUAGCAUCACCCCGCUGCUUGAGUUAUCUGCAGCUGCAAAGGACCUUUUUAGCUCCUCUCACUGUUUUCGGAGGAGCUAUGAUGAUUCUCCCCGCCCUCGUGACCAAAAUAUAUCAACAUGCUUUGGCAAUCAGGACCAACCUCUGCAGCUGUUUUUUCUGCGUGGGAUACUCGAAGCAGCUGUGUGUUAUUUUUUAAUCUCCAUGCUUUAAACAUAGACAUUUUGCUCCCCCCCACCACGGUUGAUAUGGAAACAUGCUGGAAAUAAAGAUCGCUCUGCACGUGU